GUUCUUAGAUGGGAAGAAACAGCUUCCACCAGCCAGUACUGUUGCUUACAUAUUGCUUUUUAUAUUUAGAAAUUCUUCCUUACUAAAGUUACUGGCAUUUAUGUAGAGUACAAACAAAUCAUUAGUGUGAAUUUGGAACUACAUUUUAUUUAAAGAGUCUCAGACAACCUAAUUUCCUGUCUGUAUUUUUUAUAUGGGAUAUAUAAAGUUUUGAGGCUAAGUCUUCAGCAUUAAAAAUAAUCUUUUAGGAUCCAUUUGUAUAAAACUCAUCUUGGCCUAUACACCUUUAAUGUUGGAAACUUUAGCUCAUGCAGAUUAAAAACAAGUCAUUGUCUAACCUCUAGAAGAGAAUGUCCCACAAAGCACCCUCAAGUCUCAUUUGGAGACUUAUCUGCAAUGCUUGUCAUUUAAUACUAUAGUAUGGUAUAAUGUCAGUAUUUAUAAGGCAAGG
rnacentral:lncRNA from 1 species